AAUAAACAAAAUGCUGCUGUGUCUGAAUGCUGCCUGUUAACAGAAACUUCACGGAGCCCAAACUAAAAGCUCAGCUGUAAGGAAAGGGGGCUUUCUGGCAACUGGGGAGUUCUGCACAGAAGCUGACCCUGAGACACCCCUGGGAUAGGAGCUGUGAGAGGUGAUGGCAAAGGGUUUGGCACUGCACUGGCUGUAAAGCUUCUGGUGAUGGGCUGGAGAGAAGGCCUCGGCCUGGGAAAAGUGUAAAGUACAAAACUUCUGAUACUGGCUGAAGCA
rnacentral:lncRNA from 1 species